GACGAACGCUGGCGGCGUGCUUAACACAUGCAAGUCGAACGAAGUGGCGAACGGGUGAGUAAUACGUGGGUAACCUGCCCUCCUUUUUGGGAUAAGCCUUGGAAACGGGGUCUAAUACCGAAUAAAGGGGGAUGGGCUCGCGGCCUAUCAGCUUGUUGGUGGGGUGAUGGCCUACCAAGGCGGUGAUGGGUAGCCGGCCUGAGAGGGUGACCGGCCACAUUGGGAAUCGGAUCCAGCCCAGACUGUUACGGGGGGCAGUAGUGGGGGAUAAUGCGCAGUGGGCGAAAGCCGGGGGCGACGACGCCGCGUGGGGGAUGAAGACUUUCGGGUUGUAAAGCUUUGUCGCUGUCGAACGGGUAGGUGGAGGAGAAGCGCCGGCAGACGACGUGCCAGCAGCCGCGGUAAUAC
rnacentral:rRNA from 1 species